UUACUCCUUCCUCCGUUCGAAAAUACUUUUCCUAGAAAUGAAUAAAAUGAAUGUAUCUAUAACAAAAAUAAGUCUAGAUACGUUCAUUUUUAGGACAAGUAUUUCCGGACGGAGGGAGUACUAU
rfam:Hordeum vulgare subsp. vulgare, WGS project CAJW01000000 data, contig: morex_contig_1560792